GGGGUAUAGCUCAGUGGUAGAGCACUUGUCUGACAUGCAAGAGGCCCUGGGUUCUAUCUUUAGCACCAUCA
rnacentral:tRNA from 1 species